ACGCACGCUGGCGGCGUGCUUAACACCUGCCAGUCGAACGGAAAGGCCCUGCUUGCUGGGUCCUCGAGUGGCGAACGGGUGAGUAACACGUUGUUUAUCUGCCCUGCACUUCGGGAUAAUCCUGGGUAACUGGUUCUAAUACCGGCUAGGAGCCAUUUUUAGUGUUUUGGUUGGAUAGUUUUUUCGGUUUAGGAUUGGCUCGCGGCCUAUCAGCUUGUUGGUGGGGUAAUGGCCUACCAAGGCGGCGACGGGUAGCCGGCCUGAGAGGGUGGACGGCCACAUUGGGACUGAGAUACGGCCCAGACUGCUACGGGAGGCAGCAGUGGGGAAUAGUGCAAAAUGGGCGCAAGCAUGAUGCAGCGAAGCCGCGUGGGGGAUGACGGCCUGCGGGUUGUAAACACAUUUAGAUAGGGACGAAGCUUUUGUGACGGUAACUAGAGAAGAAGCAACGGCUAACUACGUG
rnacentral:rRNA from 1 species